rnacentral:rRNA from 1 species
UAGGGAAUCUUCGGCAAUGGACGAAAGUCUGACCGAGCAACGCCGCGUGAGUGAAGAAGGUUUUCGGAUCGUAAAACUCUUUUGUUAGAGAAGAACAAGGACGUUAGUAACUGAACGUCCCCUGACGGUAUCUAACCAGAAAGCCACGGCUAACUACGUGCCAGCAGCCGCGGUAAUACGUAGGUGGCAAGCGUUGUCCGGAUUUAUUGGGCGUAAAGCGAGCGCAGGCGGUUUCUUAAGUCUGAUGUGAAAGCCCCCGGCUCAACCGGGGAGGGUCAUUGGAAACUGGGAGACUUGAGUGCAGAAGAGGGGAGUGGAAUUCCAUGUGUAGCGGUGAAAUGCGUAGAUAUAUGGAGGAACGCCAGUGGAGAAGGCGGCUCUCAAGUCUGUAACUGACGCUGAGGCUCGAAAGCGUGGGGAGCAAACAGG